CUUCAGAAAGCAAGUAGCAAGGGAUGGAAGGAGGAGGAGGAGGAGGAGGUGAUGGCGAGGACAAAGAUCCUGGGGUGGGUGUGGAAAAUACACGAGUAUACACUGGCAGUGCCCAGGAUUGCUCGGCGGCAGAGUGCGGUGCAGUUUGCGGCGCCGGGUGCGGUGCUUGAAGAAGAUUCUCUAACUCUCAGAUCAAUAGCAUGGCCUGUGAGCUAUGAAUUUGUUUUGUUUGUGAAGGAGAUGGUCUAGUCAUUCGAGAGUUUCAGAUAUCGAUAAAUUUAGAGAUUUCUGAAGCUGGUUAAUUUUACAAAUGUUUCCUGAAACAAACAAGACUCCUAAAAUUUGCCAAUUCUCUAUUUCUACGCCCAUGAUUUCAUUUUUAAUUUCUCUAAGGUCGUCUUAAGUGUUACAUUGCUCCUUUACCUUUGUUUAUAUAAACUUCUUCCACAGCCAUAGAACCUA